UACGUAGGGUGCGAGCGUUGUCCGGAAUUACUGGGCGUAAAGGGUGCGCAGGCGGCCCGCCAAGUUUAGGGUGAAAUCUCCUGGCUCAACUGGGAGGGUGCCGUGAAAACUGGUGGGCUUGAGGCUCGGGGAGGGGCGUGGAAUUCCGGGUGGAGCGGUGAAAUGCGUAGAGAUCCGGAGGAACACCGACGGCGUAAGCAGCGCCCUAAACGAGCCCUGACGCUCAGGCACGAAAGCUGGGGGAGCAAACAGG
rnacentral:rRNA from 1 species